GGCGGGAGGGGGGGGAGUGGGAGGGAAAGGAAAGGAAGGUCCUCUGGAAAUAUCUUCCGGGAUUAGAACGAGGAGCGCUGGACUCCUAUCUCGAUGCGGCCCUGUAGGAAAGCGCUGCGGGGACCGCGAAAAAGCUGCUCGGAAGGACCCACGGGGCUGAAAACGGGGAUUGGAAAAGAAAAAAAAAAAAAGUAGAUGGUGUGUGUGACAAAAAAAGCUGGGUGAUUCUGUUUUCUCAUGCCCUCGCUCCUCCACCAGCUGCACAGCCAAGCGCAGGCUGCUUGGCCCUUAUAACUAUCUUGGCACGGAGUCAAAAGCUGAUAAGCAUUUGGGCGAGACAGCUCAACUGCUGUGCUGGAAGAAAAACAGCUGCCAUGAUUUCUGUUUGAUUGAGAGCGCUUACACACACGCACAAAAAACACAUCGGGCUGCAGAGACGGGCCACGAAUGCCUGAGGAUUCAGCUUCAGAAGAGCAAUGCACGUUUCCUUAAGGGAAAGAAAAAAAAAAAAGUUUUAUGCAGUUUUGCCUCCGUUCCUCCUCCCCUUUUUAAGGAAAAUGUACUGCGUAGACUCGCUCCUCUCCUUCCCAUCCCCCUCCAUAACCUCAAGCAAACUCGAGGAAUUGUGCCAAAAGUCCCGUUGCUAGUUACUGAGUGCGUUUUUUUCAAACGUCCCUUUGAUACUUCUUCCCCUUGUGCUUGCCAUGGAAUAUGCAAGUAAGAUAAUCUUUCCAUUACUUACCAAAAGUAAUUAAAAAUGAAAAGGGCUUCUAGCAAACCUUCCUUUUCCUACUUUUUUUUUUUUUUUUUCCCUCUGAAGGGGCAGGAGAAUGGAGGCGAGGGAGAGAAGAAUAUUUUUUCUCUUUGCGGAGUCCAACAUUUGGCUUUUUCCAUUUGUGGCAGAUCACUGUAACGCUAUUGUAAAACAACUUCCUGCCCCUUUUGGCUCCGGUUCCAGAAGCUGCUAGGCUAAGUUCAUAGCGCAAACUUUUUUUCCCCCCUUGCCGAAGAAGAAAGGCAAAAAAAAAUAAAUGUCCUGCAAAUGAUUCUCCUCCUUCUCCGGCUGAUGGACUCACAAGGUGAAUUCAUUGCAGCUCUGUAAGAAUGUCACACAAGAGGCAGCGCUAUCCCAGCUGGAUAAUUCAUGAGCCGAAAGCAGAGAACGCCAUUUUGAGGCUGUCACACAUUUCUGUGUCCAAAGUGGAUAACGCCUGCGGAAAGCAUAAGAAUGAUAUUCUCAUGCUGCAGAAAAAGUAGGAAGAGAGGGAAAGAGACUAUCAUCAGGAAAACUGAAAGGAAGAUGCCUCUGUAGCAUGCACAUGCCGCCAGGAAGCAUGAGGUUUAGCCCAGAGGGCUGACAAAAUAAAAGAAACUUCCAGACUACGUGUUGGCAUCAAAUGGGUGACAUGCCCACUGCAGGAGAAGUCUUCCUUCUGUGAGGUUGAAGGAUCACAACCCCAAAGCCAGUCCCUGCAUGCACAGCCAGCUUCUCUAAGCAGCAGCCACACCCUCCUCUUCCUCAUUUUUUUCCACUGACCAUGAAAUGCAUUCUAAGCCAGGCACUGAAAAAAAAAAGAAAAAAUAGAAAAAAAGAUCAUAAGUACAUUUUUAAUGGACACCAG
ensembl:lncRNA